rnacentral:tRNA from 1 species
GGGGCUAUAGCUUAGUGGCAGAGCGCUUGCUUAGCAUGCAUGAGGCACUAGGUUUGAUCCUUAGCACCA